AAUCCAUAGGUUAAUGAGGCGAACCGGGGGAACUGAAACAUCUAAGUACCCCGAGGAAAAGAAAUCAACCGAGAUUCCCCCAGUAGCGGCGAGCGAACGGGGAGGAGCCCAGAGCCUGAAUCAGCAUGUGUGUUAGUGGAAGCGUCUGGAAAGGCGCGCGAUACAGGGUGACAGCCCCGUACACAAAAGCGCAUGUGCUGUGAGCUCGAUGAGUAGGGCGGGACACGUGGUAUCCUGUCUGAAUAUGGGGGGACCAUCCUCCAAGGCUAAAUACUCCUGACUGACCGAUAGUGAACCAGUACCGUGAGGGAAAGGCGAAAAGAACCCCGGCGAGGGGAGUGAAAAAGAACCUGAAACCGUGUACGUACAAGCAGUGGGAGCCCCACCACCAAAGCAUUUGCUGUACCGCGUUGACGGAGCGAAGCGACGUCAAACCGAUAAAACAGCAGUGUAAAGUGAGCCGCAGGGCGCUUUGCGCGACAGCGCAAAGGCAGGCGGUUUCGCGUAGCGAAAGCGAAUGCUUUGGGGUGGGGUGACUGCGUACCUUUUGUAUAAUGGGUCAGCGACUUAUAUUCUGUAGCAAGGUUAACCGAAUAGGGGAGCCGGAGGGAAACCGAGUCUUAAUUGGGCGUUAAGUUGCAGGGUAUAGACCCGAAACCCGGUGAUCUAGCCAUGGGCAGGUUGAAGGGUGGGUAACACUAACUGGAGGACCGAACCGACUAAUGUUGAAAAAUUAGCGGAUGACCUGUGGCUGGGGGUGAAAGGCCAAUCAAACCGGGAGAUAGCUGGUUCUCCCCGAAAGCUAUUUAGGUAGCGCCUCGUGAAUUCAUCUCCGGGGGUAGAGCACUGUUUCGGCUAGGGGGCCAUCCCGGCUUACCAACCCGAUGCAAACUGCGAAUACCGGAGAAUGUUAUCACGGGAGACACACGGCGGGUGCUAACGUCCGUCGUGAAGAGGGAAACAACCCAGACCGCCAGCUAAGGUCCCAAAGUCAUGGUUAAGUGGGAAACGAUGUGGGAAGGCCCAGACAGCCAGGAUGUUGGCUUAGAAGCAGCCAUCAUUUAAAGAAAGCGUAAUAGCUCACUGGUCGAGUCGGCCUGCGCGGAAGAUGUAACGGGGCUAAACCAUGCACCGAAGCUGCGGCAGCGACACUGUGUGUUGUUGGGUAGGGGAGCGUUCUGUAAGCCUGUGAAGGUGUGUCGUGAGGCAUGCUGGAGGUAUCAGAAGUGCGAAUGCUGACAUAAGUAACGAUAAAGCGGGUGAAAAGCCCGCUCGCCGGAAGACCAAGGGUUCCUGUCCAACGUUAAUCGGGGCAGGGUGAGUCGACCCCUAAGGCGAGGCCGAAAGGCGUAGUCGAUGGGAAACGGGUUAAUAUUCCCGUACUUGGUGUUACUGCGAAGGGGGGACGGAGAAGGCUAUGUUGGCCGGGCGACGGUUGUC
rnacentral:rRNA from 1 species